ACUCCUACGGGAGGCAGCAGUAGGGAAUCUUCCACAAUGGGCGCAAGCCUGAUGGAGCAACACCGCGUGAGUGAAGAAGGGUUUCGGCUCGUAAAGCUCUGUUGUUAAAGAAGAACACGUAUGAGAGUAACUGUUCAUACGUUGACGGUAUUUAACCAGAAAGUCACGGCUAACUACGUGCCAGCAGCCGCGGUAAUACGUAGGUGGCAAGCGUUAUCCGGAUUUAUUGGGCGUAAAGAGAGUGCAGGCGGUUUUCUAAGUCUGAUGUGAAAGCCUUCGGCUUAACCGGAGAAGUGCAUCGGAAACUGGAUAACUUGAGUGCAGAAGAGGGUAGUGGAACUCCAUGUGUAGCGGUGGAAUGCGUAGAUGUAUGGAAGAACACCAGUGGCGAAGGCGGCUACCUGGUCUGCAACUGACGCUGAGACUCGAAAGCAUGGGUAGCGAACAGGAUUAGAUACCCUGGUAGGAUAGCG
rnacentral:rRNA from 1 species